rnacentral:rRNA from 1 species
UACAGAGGUCUCAAGCGUUGUUCGGAUUCAUUGGGCGUAAAGGGUGCGUAGGUGGCGGGGUAAGUCAGGUGUGAAAUCUCGAGGCUCAACCUCGAAACUGCACUUGAUACUGCCUUGCUCGAGUACUGGAGAGGAGAUUGGAAUUUACGGUGUAGCAGUGAAAUGCGUAGAUAUCGUAAGGAAGACCAGUGGCGAAGGCGAAUCUCUGGACAGUUACUGACACUGAGGUGCGAAAGCGUGGGGAGCAAACAGG